rnacentral:misc_RNA from 1 species
AAGAAAAAAGGUGAAAGGUGAGAGAGGAGGGCGAGACAGAGACGGGAUUUAUAAAAGAAGAAGCAGGGAAAGCAAAUGAGAAUGGGCGGAGAGUUUGAGGAACGCAAGAGCCAACUGCAAACGAGCUAUUUGGACCAGCUUCUCUGUGUUUUCAGCUUUGGGCGAUUUAUUUGAUGUUGAAACUCUCCCUCUGGCCGCAAUCCACAUUGUUUCCAUCGCCACACAACUCUCUUCUUCA